GACGAACGCNGGCGGCGUGCCUAAUACAUGCAAGUAGAACGCUGAAGGAGGAGCUUGCUCUUCUGGAUGAGUUGCGAACGGGUGAGUAACGCGUAGGUAACCUGCCUGGUAGCGGGGGAUAACUAUUGGAAACGAUAGCUAAUACCGCAUAAGAGUAGAUGUUGCAUGACAUUUGCUUAAAAGGUGCAAUUGCAUCACUACCAGAUGGACCUGCGUUGUAUUAGCUAGUUGGUGAGGUAACGGCUCACCAAGGCGACGAUACAUAGCCGACCUGAGAGGGUGAUCGGCCACACUGGGACUGAGACACGGCCCAGACUCCUACGGGAGGCAGCAGUAGGGAAUCUUCGGCAAUGGACGGAAGUCUGACCGAGCAACGCCGCGUGAGUGAAGAAGGUUUUCGGAUCNUAAAGNUCUGUUGUAAGAGAAGAACGAGUGUGAGAGNGGAAAGUCACAC
rnacentral:rRNA from 1 species